GGGUUGUGAGGUUAAGCGACUAAGCGUACACGGUGGAUGCCCUGGCAGUCAGAGGCGAUGAAGGACGUGCUAAUCUGCGAUAAGCGUCGGUAAGGUGAUAUGAACCGUUAUAACCGGCGAUUUCCGAAUGGGGAAACCCAGUGUGUUUCGACACACUAUCAUUAACUGAAUCCAUAGGUUAAUGAGGCGAACCGGGGGAACUGAAACAUCUAAGUACCCCGAGGAAAAGAAAUCAACCGAGAUUCCCCCAGUAGCGGCGAGCGAACGGGGAGCAGCCCAGAGCCUGAAUCAGUAUGUGUGUUAGUGGAAGCGUCUGGAAAGGCGCGCGAUACAGGGUGACAGCCCCGUACACAAAAAUGCACAUAUUGUGAGCUCGAUGAGUAGGGCGGGACACGUGGUAUCCUGUCUGAAUAUGGGGGGACCAUCCUCCAAGGCUAAAUACUCCUGACUGACCGAUAGUGAACCAGUACCGUGAGGGAAAGGCGAAAAGAACCCCGGCGAGGGGAGUGAAAAAGAACCUGAAACCGUGUACGUACAAGCAGUGGGAGCACGCUUCGGCGUGUGACUGCGUACCUUUUGUAUAAUGGGUCAGCGACUUAUAUUCUGUAGCAAGGUUAACCGAAUAGGGGAGCCGAAGGGAAACCGAGUCUUAACUGGGCGUUAAGUUGCAGGGUAUAGACCCGAAACCCGGUGAUCUAGCCAUGGGCAGGUUGAAGGUUGGGUAACACUAACUGGAGGACCGAACCGACUAAUGUUGAAAAAUUAGCGGAUGACUUGUGGCUGGGGGUGAAAGGCCAAUCAAACCGGGAGAUAGCUGGUUCUCCCCGAAAGCUAUUUAGGUAGCGCCUCGUGAAUUCAUCUCCGGGGGUAGAGCACUGUUUCGGCAAGGGGGUCAUCCCGACUUACCAACCCGAUGCAAACUGCGAAUACCGGAGAAUGUUAUCACGGGAGACACACGGCGGGUGCUAACGUCCGUCGUGAAGAGGGAAACAACCCAGACCGCCAGCUAAGGUCCCAAAGUCAUGGUUAAGUGGGAAACGAUGUGGGAAGGCCCAGACAGCCAGGAUGUUGGCUUAGAAGCAGCCAUCAUUUAAAGAAAGCGUAAUAGCUCACUGGUCGAGUCGGCCUGCGCGGAAGAUGUAACGGGGCUAAACCAUGCACCGAAGCUGCGGCAGCGACGCUUAUGCGUUGUUGGGUAGGGGAGCGUUCUGUAAGCCUGUGAAGGUGUGCUGUGAGGCAUGCUGGAGGUAUCAGAAGUGCGAAUGCUGACAUAAGUAACGAUAAAGCGGGUGAAAAGCCCGCUCGCCGGAAGACCAAGGGUUCCUGUCCAACGUUAAUCGGGGCAGGGUGAGUCGACCCCUAAGGCGAGGCCGAAAGGCGUAGUCGAUGGGAAACAGGUUAAUAUUCCUGUACUUGGUGUUACUGCGAAGGGGGGACGGAGAAGGCUAUGUUGGCCGGGCGACGGUUGUCCCGGUUUAAGCGUGUAGGCUGGUUUUCCAGGCAAAUCCGGAAAAUCAAGGCUGAGGCGUGAUGACGAGGCACUACGGUGCUGAAGCAACAAAUGCCCUGCUUCCAGGAAAAGCCUCUAAGCAUCAGGUAACAUCAAAUCGUACCCCAAACCGACACAGGUGGUCAGGUAGAGAAUACCAAGGCGCUUGAGAGAACUCGGGUGAAGGAACUAGGCAAAAUGGUGCCGUAACUUCGGGAGAAGGCACGCUGAUAUGUAGGUGAAGCGACUUGCUCGUGGAGCUGAAAUCAGUCGAAGAUACCAGCUGGCUGCAACUGUUUAUUAAAAACACAGCACUGUGCAAACACGAAAGUGGACGUAUACGGUGUGACGCCUGCCCGGUGCCGGAAGGUUAAUUGAUGGGGUUAGCGGUAACGCGAAGCUCUUGAUCGAAGCCCCGGUAAACGGCGGCCGUAACUAUAACGGUCCUAAGGUAGCGAAAUUCCUUGUCGGGUAAGUUCCGACCUGCACGAAUGGCGUAAUGAUGGCCAGGCUGUCUCCACCCGAGACUCAGUGAAAUUGAACUCGCUGUGAAGAUGCAGUGUACCCGCGGCAAGACGGAAAGACCCCGUGAACCUUUACUAUAGCUUGACACUGAACAUUGAGCCUUGAUGUGUAGGAUAGGUGGGAGGCUUUGAAGUGUGGACGCCAGUCUGCAUGGAGCCGACCUUGAAAUACCACCCUUUAAUGUUUGAUGUUCUAACGUUGACCCGUAAUCCGGGUUGCGGACAGUGUCUGGUGGGUAGUUUGACUGGGGCGGUCUCCUCCUAAAGAGUAACGGAGGAGCACGAAGGUUGGCUAAUCCUGGUCGGACAUCAGGAGGUUAGUGCAAUGGCAUAAGCCAGCUUGACUGCGAGCGUGACGGCGCGAGCAGGUGCGAAAGCAGGUCAUAGUGAUCCGGUGGUUCUGAAUGGAAGGGCCAUCGCUCAACGGAUAAAAGGUACUCCGGGGAUAACAGGCUGAUACCGCCCAAGAGUUCAUAUCGACGGCGGUGUUUGGCACCUCGAUGUCGGCUCAUCACAUCCUGGGGCUGAAGUAGGUCCCAAGGGUAUGGCUGUUCGCCAUUUAAAGUGGUACGCGAGCUGGGUUUAGAACGUCGUGAGACAGUUCGGUCCCUAUCUGCCGUGGGCGCUGGAGAACUGAGGGGGGCUGCUCCUAGUACGAGAGGACCGGAGUGGACGCAUCACUGGUGUUCGGGUUGUCAUGCCAAUGGCACUGCCCGGUAGCUAAAUGCGGAAGAGAUAAGUGCUGAAAGCAUCUAAGCACGAAACUUGCCCCGAGAUGAGUUCUCCCUGACUCCUUGAGAGUCCUGAAGGAACGUUGAAGACGACGACGUUGAUAGGCCGGGUGUGUAAGCGCAGCGAUGCGUUGAGCUAACCGGUACUAAUGAACCGUGAGGCUUAACCUUACAACGCCGAAGCUGUU
rnacentral:rRNA from 1 species